UCCUGUUUUGACAUUUAAUGCUAGUAAUUUCCUAUACCCCAGGAAGUUGCUGGGAAGAUGUAUCCUUAAAAUACAUGAAGGAAGCCCCUUCUAGGCAGUGUAGAAAGAAAGAAGAGGUACAGAGCACAGCUAUGCAGGAACCAAACAAACUUCAGUGUAACCUAAAAUGAGAAGCAAGUAGUGCAAAUUAUCUUAUCUGGUCUUGUAGGACAAUCUGUCUCCUUAACUCAUUUGUUAACAUUGGAAGAUUUUUCACAUAUAGCGGGUUGGAUUUAAGAUAUAAUCCUUAUUAUGUGCAACAUCAGGAAAUGCAGAACACUGAAAAUAAAGUGUGUUUGUCUCCAUAGUGCGGUGGAAUGAAAACAGAUGGCAGGCAGCACAUAUGGCUGCCAGAAGCUGGGAACACCCAUUUGCAGAGUUCUUGCAGCUCUAAACAAAACAAGCCAAAACAAAGGAACUCCGAGAGGGGCAGAGAUUGUUCCAGGCAGAUAUCAGGAUAUCUGCCUCUUCUCCACACCCACACUCCUCAUUUCUUUACCUCUGGUUGCUCAAGCUAGAAACGGAAGCAAACUGCUAGUUAAGAAUUUAGUGGACUUCCUAAGUAUUUGUCAAAACAGCAUUUCUUAAGUAUAGGCAUUAUUUAAAAUAAAUAUCUGAUUUUCAUUGUAGGAAAUCAGAUACUCCAUUCAAGCCUCUAGGUUUGGACAAAGUUGAAGUUUUGCCACAGUCGUCCGAGCAAUUCAACAACUUUAAAAAUGUGCUAAUAUUGAAGGGACUUCUUGUGUCUCAGCUUCCUAUCAUAUGGAAGGUUGAGAAGGAAAUUGCAGACACUUGCCUUCCUUAAACUCAGUCGCUGGCUUAGGUCCUUUUUGUACUUUGAGUAUUUUGGGGAAAGGUAUUCAACAUUAUUUGCAGUAGUUCAGCUUACCUGGUGCUGGUUCUGAAGGUUCUUUACAGGGUACUGCUGUUGCAACAAUGCUUUAUGGCUUGUACCUUAUGGCCUUUCUAAAUACUAAUCAGCAAUGUAGUGUAUAUUAUAUGUACCUGUAGGAUCACUGGUCAUAUAGCUGUCAACAUGAGCAGAAGGGAAGAGUAAUAGCAGUAAUACCUGGGACAGUUUGGGGGUUUUAUGCUGAUCUUGGAUAUUUAAUCCAAGCAGAAGGACAGUAGAGUAAAAAAAAAAAUGUCUUUAGUAGAUUGAAAAAGUUCCUUCUUUAUUUAAGUUUUAAACUUCAGGAGUAGAAUUUUGAGACCUCCCAGCCUAUAUUAUGGAACCUAGGAAUGACCAAGUAACAAGUCAAGGUCAAAUAUAUAUAUUUUAGGUACACAGGUAUUAUGAAAUGCGUAAAGGCUUAAAUGUGACCAUGAAUAAGAUAACAAUGAUUUUCUCAAUUGUUAAGAUUUUUGUUCUUAUUCUUGGGCUUGGGGCUUUUUUUAUGGUAAGCUUUGUAAUAGGCUUUCUCUUUGUUUAUGAUUAGCCUUCUUCAAUUUCUUCAGCUUUAUUUUUUUCUCAUCUAACUUAAAAUACAUUUUAAUUUAAUUUAUGUACGCAGUUGCAACUGUAUGGUAAAUACUACAACAAAAAAGAAGUUGAUUUAUUUAUUUGCUAAAAGGAGAUGAAAGGGAUAGAUUAAAAAUAUUCAAACUCAGCAGAACAAAAAGCAGUAGUAAUUAAAAUUGAUGAUGCCCAGAAACCAAUAAAGUUACCAGGACUUAAUAAAAUUUUAUGGCAAAAGAAAUAUAAUGGACUACAUAAACUGAUGCUGGCAGAAGUAGCUUCCAGUGACUGACCCUGGUUUUGAGACAUUUUACUGUGUGUUUAUUUAUAUUUAGGUCCCUGAAAGUUUUCAGUAGAAGAAAAUUGCUGAGACUAAAUGAACAGGAGUUUUUUAAAUCUGUGUGAGAUUUAAGGAAUAUCUGAGUUUAAAUAUUUUUUUAUUUUUACUAGUUUUUUUAUUUUUACUAGUUUCUAUAGUUUAAGCUAUAGAAAUAAUUUUAGAAUUAAGAACAGGAUCCCACUUGUUACAGAUAAUUCCUUCCUUUGUUCCAGUGAAUAAUCUGGAUCUUUGAUUUUGGAGGAAGUGUGUUUAGUGGUAUGUUGUAACCAAGAACUUUAGGUCUGUAUUACCUGUAAGGAUGUGAGAUUUCAGCGUGACAUUGAGCACCUGCUUAGCCUUGAAGGACUGAGUCUCCUGUUAGAGGUCUUACAAACUGGGGGAAAGAUGAUUUCGCUCUGCAUUUCAAUGGUGAUAUUUCAGUGUAUGUUCUGUUAACUUGAUUCUUUUAUUGCAUAAUUCUGAGUGUUAUUUCGUAUCCUUGGAACUUCAGUAAUACAGUGUAUUGUCCUUGAAGUCCCAGGGGAACAUAUUUUCCCCACUGAAAAUCAUCAGCUAGCAGCUUAUCUCUGUUGCAAUGAAGAGGAAAUGCUGGACUAACUUUAGAUGAGCAGUUUGGAUCACAAUAUACGGACUGCCCUGUGGAACAGUCAUAAGGAAACUGGCUGAUGUAAGAGAAUGAAGACAUCUGAGAGCACUGUUUAAGCAAACUCGAGCUAAAGUAGGUGGAACAGUUGGUCGCAGUCUCUUAGAGCAAAUGGAGCAGCAAAGUACAGAAUGGAAGGAGAGAGCCUCACUUCUCACCUCUGCAUUAUUAGCACUGUGAAGAGAAGGAUGGAAGCCUUUUUGCCAGUGAACUCUUUCAUCAUCAUUACUUAUAUCCCAGGGACCUGAGUCCAACAUAUUUUGGGAGAAAUUAUAGAAAAUGAGCAAUUGAAAAAACAACAGAAGAAUGUGAGCAGCAGUAAAAACCAAGGUAAAAGGAACCAUAUUACUUUCAGAUAAAUUUCAAGAGCUUCAGAGCUUCCCACUCUUCAAAGGCUUUCUGCAGUAAAAGUUUCCAGUGGAAGAGCAUAUGUGGAAUAACAAAGCUCAGUAAAAACCAACUAAAUGAAAAGGAAGGUGACAGCCAGGAAUCCUAAAUCAAAGAAAGAAAUGCUAUGAACAGGAUGCAGCUUUCUGAGGUGCUUAGAAAUGGAAAGAUGCUUUUGGAAACCACGCUGGACUGAAGACCUAGACUGAGAUUCCCAGAUUCUAAUAAAAAUAUGACUAAGUGCUGGCUAAAUGAUGCCUAAGCAGUCAAACACAUUGUCCUGGCCAGUACUGAAAGCUGUUGCUGCUGCAACUUCUGCUACCUCUACCAGCAGUGGGUAUGGUCAUAGUGAGCAAGAGGCAUAUAAGAACCACUGAUCUGGAUGAUUUUACUUCAUCUGAAAACUGAGGUAAUGUGUUCCUACAUUUCUUUAAGGAAAACAGGAGUGCCCUAAGGAACAGGAAAUAUCUGCAGAGCUGAUUGGAGUAAUAUAAGGUAUGUAGUGGGAAGAGAAUUUAAGCAGUGUUAAUUGGGUGAAAAUAGAACAGGACACCGUAACCUAAACAUAAAAUUAUAUUUAAUGUGUUGCAUUUGGUGCUUUAUUUACCCAUUCUCCUAGCAAAUACAGCAAGACUAAAAUGCUAAGCCAGGAAUACCACUAUUGAAAAAAAUCAUGCAGGACAGCUGCGUGGUACUGGGAGAGAAGCAUUCAAGACCCAGAAAUACCAAUGUGUUAAAGGAUCUAAAGGGAUAACAAAAGAUUUUUUUAUGAAUUUCUGAUCACCUUUGCUUAAUAAUAAUAACACCUAAAGAAAAUAGAAAAGUGCAUGAAGCAGCUAGCAGGGACCAUUUUAAAAUACUGCUUGCCCAAUCACCCAAGCUGUUGAAUUACACAACUCCUACUGAAAUAAAUAGGAACUGCUGCUGCUGAGCAUUGUUAUAAAUGAGGCCACUUAAGCAACUGUUGAAUAGCUGAUCUAUAACCAGUAAUUUCUAGGGAGUUGUAAAUUCAGAUAUUUAUUGUUAAGUGGGUGGCUGAGUCUUGGCCACAUUUUACCUGUUUUGCUACUCCUUUUUUUUUUUUUAGUUGAAGCAUACAUCUUAUUUUUGUAAUUACUUUCUCAAAGACUUCUGAAAAAUUAAUUCUCAAAAGGCUUAGAAUAGUCUGAUGAUAUAGGUAAUCUCAAACAAUGCAUUUAAGCAAAGAGAAUUAUUAGUGAACAGGUUACUGGAAAGAAUAACAACUUAAGUCAUCUAGAAAAGAAUACUCACAAAACAGUAUUAUUAUAUAAGCUUCCUUUUCUAAACUGUCUUGUAAUUGUCAGAAGAACAUGGUGAGCGCAUUCCCUGUGCUGUGGGCUGUAAAAGAGUAAUUCAGAUUUUAGGCCAUCUAGUACCAAAUCAAAACUACCAUGGUCUAGUAAUUCAAAGCGUUACGUCAGUCUAAAUUUAAGCUGCCAGUACAAAUUUACUCUGAGGGUUUCUUCAUUAAUUUGUUGGAUAGGUAUGUGCAAACUGUCUGUCUGUGGUUCUGCUAUUCUGUGCCUGACUGGACCCUUCAUAGUAAUCCCUGACUUUUCUUUUUGUUAGUUACUACUUCUUGUCUUCCCCACUUUCUGUGCUCAGGUAUAUCAUUAGCUCAUGUGUCCCUACCCUAAUCCUCUUUCCGAAGGAUGGUCACAGGUCAUUCACCCAACUCUCUUGUUGCUCUUUGCCUCAGACAUUCAUUUGUUCAAGUAUUCCAAAACUUGUGGCCUCCUUCUCUUUUUUCCUUUUACCUUAUCAUAAACUACAUGGGUACACUGGCCACACUUCAGUUACAUGUUCUGCCUUGGUGGAGAUUGAGCCAUCUGCCUCUCUUGGGUCUUUCUUGAGACUUUUCUCUUUUUGGGUUGCCACAAAAACCACACAACUCCCUUCUGAGAAAGGGAAUGGAAAUGCACACCCUGACCUAGUCAUCAUUGAUUCUAGUCAAAACUGGUGAUACUAUGAAGCUGUACAGAAAUUGCCCUUUCUAUUUCCUCCUCCUAAGUCAAAACAUUAUGUGUCAGAGGUGGUUGAAUUUUAGCUCAAGAAAGCAAAGUACCAUCUUCAGACAUUUCCCAGAAUAGUGGGCUUCUCUGCUGUCUACAUCACUCAUCACUUUUCCCCACAGAUUCAACAUAUCCACACGUGCCUUGUAUAGAAAAAAACUCUUUCACCUUCCUGUCAUUCCAGGAAUGACUAGACAUGACCUUCUGCUAUUAGGAAGCAGUCUUGAUACUCACGCAAAAUCUAUAAUGGAUUUCUGUCUGGGAGACUGGAGAAAUAUACUAGUAAUGGAUACCUUCAAUGAGCCAGAAGAGUCUUGCUGGGUAAAAAUGAAUUGCCACUCACAUAUUUUUUCCCAAACAGCCUUGUUUGGGUGAACUGCUAGGAAAAAUCUUGCAUUUUUUAGUCCAAAGAAAAUUCUGCUUUGGAAAGAGAGAGCUCCUUUACAGAGGGGCUGGGAUAGAGGGACAGUAAGAAAGGAGUAUGUGGCUAAUAUCAGAAAAGCUUCACAAGGAAAGCCUAGCAUGCUUUGCAGUAUUCAUCACCCUGAGCUCAAGGGAGUGCCUUUCUGAAUGGCAUGGCAUGCCCAGACCUUGCUGUCUGUUUACGUUCUCCACACUGAUACAAUGCCAUAAUGCAGUUGGUGAUUCCAGCCUCCAAAUCACAGCAAUCUCCUCUCAGCUCAGUAUUACUGCUGAGAUGACCACUGCUCUCUCAUGUAUGUUCAGCACAGACCUCAAAAUACAUCACCUUCUCCAUUCUGUGUUUUUUUCCAUUGCUUUUGUCCCUCCAGGCAUUUGCAUCUUUGCCAACUGCCACCAACUCUUCCAAAAGACUCAGUGUUAAUAGCAUGGACAGUAAUUCUACUCAUAUUGAGAAUUCCUCCCAGUAUGGCCAGCUCAGCUUCCCCUGCUUCACCUCUGCAUGCGACUUCUCUUGCUGUGUGUGGUGACUGCACAAGGGAGCUUUGUCCUAUACAUAGAAUUUUGAUACAAAUAUAUUUAAUUUCUAUGACCAGCCUCUGCCGAAGCAACAGCUUUGUUUAUGCUGCUCAGUGAAAGUGUGUCACAAUUUAAGACUGAGCUGACAGUGAGGAGACUGGGUGGGCUAGGAUACUAAAGCCCUUCUAGUCACAGAUAAAUAUUUAAAGUUUACAAGUGACUCAGCUUCCCUGUUCUGAGAGACUGUGCAGCUCAGGUGAGAGGCCAAGCACGUCAGUGCGAUGGUCUCUCCCCCAGCCUGCCUCUCCUGCAGCAGGGAGGUGGUGCCAUCCAGGAGGAGCUCAGCUGGGUCAGUGCAGCAGUCCCAGCCAUGAGAUGGGCAGUCCAGGAUGGAGCCCAGGGGUCCCUGGAGCUAACCCUGGGGAUUCUGCUGGACCUCUUCCCCAGCAACAACCUGGCAGUAGCAUUCACAGCAUGCCCCACUUGAGUUUUCCACACCUCUGCCAACAGCACAGCACUUAACAGGUUAGUCACCAGAGGAAGAAUUGGAGGGUAAACAGGGUUUAAACUAUCCAAUACCUCUGUCAAGCUGUCACAAGUGGGACAUUGUUUCUGGAGGAUUAAGAUGGAAAUGACCUGAUGAUUUUCAAGAGACUGGUUGUGGAACAGUCUGGCCCCAGGAACAGCUACUAAAAAAGUGCCAUGGAUACAUCAGGUGUGUCAGUCCUGGGCACAGCUCAGCUGAGAGUGUCGGGCAGUGCAUUGACAGUGCACACCCACAGAAAACCACUAGUGUGGCCUCUUGCUGACUCAACAAAGGUGUUUGAGAUGCAAUUGUGUAAGAACAUGUGGCCUGGCUAAAUUCAUAUCAUUAGGUGAUCCAGCCAUGGGUAGACUUCUCUUAAAUACUUUGGAACCGUGGCCUGAAGGUCAUCCACAAUCAACACAGUACAAGUAUGCUAGUCACUCUCAUAUUGUACUGCCACAACCCUACUCAAUAAUUUGGUCAAUUAUUUCAAAAUUAUGUUAAUGAAUUAUAAUGAAAUUUAAAAAUGCAGUAGAAUAUGAAAAUUAUUUUAUUGCGAGUGUAGAUAUUUAAUAUUAAAAUAUGCAAUGUUUGUUUAUACCUCAUUACAACUACAUACAAUGUGGAAUGUAUAAUGUAAUGGGCAUCAACUUAGUUUCAUAAAUAUUUUAGCACAAAAUUAUGCUUUUUCCUGUGUAGUUUGCAGAAAAAGGAGAGCUGUGGUCAGUUAUUUAAGUAAGUGCUUGUAUCUGAGUAUGUUCACAGAUUAGAUAAAUGUACAUAGUUUCACAAAUAGUCACAUUUUAGGCCCUUUAAAUCUGAAUGCAGAAAAGCCACAUAGAAAGAAAAGGUUUUAUUAGAUAGUAGUAAACUAGAAGCAGCAAAUAACUUACAACAGAUGGGAAGUUUGUACAUACCAAGUAUAGAAAUGCUUAAAGAUCAUACAUAUAGCUGUCUUACUGCUAAAAUGAUUGAACACAAAGUAGUAUUACAAUAAAUAUUUUGCUUACUAAAAGCAGUAGUGAAACUGGUACAUCAUUUAAGUACAUCAUUGUUUUGAAAGCCUCGAGGGUACUUCUAUUUAUGUUAUGUUAUGGUGUACAACUAUGAGGACAAGUAAAUCUCCAGUGAAUUGAAAUAGGACUUUUUGUGUACUAUCUCAAGGGGAUUAUUAAUUUAAAAUGUCACACAGUAAGUGUGAAGUAUUUGACAGGAACUGGUAGUGCAUGAUUCGGACAGGUCGCAUCCAGUAAAGUAAUUCCACUCCUAUCAAAAUGUUAUGGCACUUGAAUUUGAUUCAUGCUCAAAUCUACUUCUAUGUUUGUUU